rnacentral:lncRNA from 1 species
AUCUUUAUUUUUAUUUUAUUUUUUUUCUCUUCCACUCUUCUUUUUUUCGUUUUCUUCUCUUCCACGAUGAACCUUAACGACAUCCCCUAAAUAAUCUUUUCUCUCAUCAAAACUAAAUUUAAAAAAUAAAUCUUUUUUUUCUCCCGAUUUCAUUGAUAUAUAAUCAUUCUCUCCGAGCUUGUUGUCGUUGAUGAUGAUUAUGAGACAAGAGGAAGUUGUUACCUGUAAAGAUCAGUUGCAAAUUAUUGGGAAUGUGGCAAGUGCCCAACACAACUGCCUCCUCCAAGUUUGGCGAUGGAUUCAAGCUCGAUGGCAAUGAUUUUUAGUGGAGUAGAAAUUGAAAGACAAAAAAUAAUGAUGAUUGGAUCAAGGAUUCAUCUUUGAUAAUGGAUUUGAAUCUCUACCUGAACCAUUCAGGCUAUUAUAACAUUUAAGAAUUG